rnacentral:rRNA from 1 species
GAGUAACAUGUGGGAAUCUACCUGAAGGUUCGGAAUAACUGCGGGAAACUGUAGCUAAUACCGGAUGUGUCUGCAAAGAGAAAGAUUUAUCGCCUUCAGAUGAGCCCGCACUAGAUUAGCUAGUUGGUGAGGUAACUGCUCCACCAAGGCUACGAUCUAUAGCUGAUUUGAGAGGAUGAUCAGCCACACUGGGACUGAGACACGGCCCAGACUCCUACGGGAGGCAGCAGUAGGGAAUAUUGGACAAUGGGGGAAACCCUGAUCCAGCAAUGCCGCGUGAGUGAAGAAGGCCUUAGGGUUGUAAAACUCUUUCAUCAAUGAUGAUAAUGACAUUAGUUGAAGAAGAAGCUCCGGCUAACUUCGUGCCAGCAGCCGCGGUAAUACGAAGGGGGCUAGCGUUGUUCGGAAUCACUGGGCGUAAAGCGUAUGUAGGCGGAUCAAAAAGUUAGAUGUGAAAUCCCUGGGCUCAACCCAGGAACUGCAUUUAAAACUAGUGAUCUAGAAAUUGGUAAGGGUUAGUAGAAUUUCCAGUGUAGAGGUGAAAUUCGUAGAUAUUGGAAAGAAUACCAGAAGCGAAGGCGACUAACUAGGCCAUUUUUGACGCUGAGAUACGAAAGCGUGGGUAGCAAACAGGAUUAGAUACCCUGGUAGUCCACGCAGUAAACGAUGAGUGCUAGUCGCUGGGACAAUAGUUUCAGUGUCGUAGCUAACGCAUUAAGCACUCCGCCUGGGAAGUACGGU